CACAAAAUAAGGAAAUAUCUAUUAGAGGCUACAGAAGAAGCCUCAAUGGCAUACAACAAAGCGGUCACACGUCUUCGUGAGUAUCAAGGCGUGGAUCCACACUUUGAUAACAUUGCAAGGCAGUACCAUGACAUCGUAAAGAAACUGGAAAACAUGCAAUGGACAAUCCAUCAAGUUGAAAUGGACCUCAAACGGUUACCAGAUCACCCAAGCUCUUAAGGCUUCAAUUUCGUUUUGUUUUAAUUAGCUGAAGUUCCAUUCUUUUUUGAUAUUCAAGGAAUUUCAUCUCCAGUCUGUUUGCUUGUUGUGUGUAAUAGCAGAUGUAAAUGACAAUGACUAUUGUGUUGAUUAACAGUAAGAUUUUCCAGAUACCGAUUGGUCGAAUUAUGUGGUGAACUCUUGUACAUUAGGAUAACAUUGGGAGGGGGUGAUGGAAGCUUUCAAUUCAUUACAAUGUAAGGCAGACUCUCCUGCCAAAUGGGCUGCUGUUAGAAGAUUGUCUACCAGCAUUUCCAGUUACAUAUUUCAGGAGAUUCAUCUUGGGUUGUAUAAUGGUCAAGUUCCUUCUUAUCAUAAUUUAAUUUUGGCCGUUA